GAUCCUGGCUCAGGAUGAACGCUAGCUACAGGCUUAACACAUGCAAGUCGAGGGGCAGCAUGAACUUAGCUUGCUAAGUUUGAUGGCGACCGGCGCACGGGUGAGUAACACGUAUCCAACCUUCCGUUUACUCAGGGAUAGCCUUUCGAAAGAAAGAUUAAUACCUGAUAGUAUGGUGAGAUUGCAUGAUAACACCAUUAAAGAUUUAUUGGUAAACGAUGGGGAUGCGUUCCAUUAGGUAGUAGGCGGGGUAACGGCCCACCUAGCCUGCGAUGGAUAGGGGUUCUGAGAGGAAGGUCCCCCACAUUGGAACUGAGACACGGUCCAAACUCCUACGGGAGGCAGCAGUGAGGAAUAUUGGUCAAUGGACGAGAGUCUGAACCAGCCAAGUAGCGUGAAGGAUGAAGGUCCUACGGAUUGUAAACUUCUUUUAUAAGGGAAUAAACCCUCCCACGUGUGGGAGCUUGUAUGUACCUUAUGAAUAAGCAUCGGCUAACUCCGUG
rnacentral:rRNA from 1 species